UUUUUUUUUUUUUUCCCCGCCCACCGAAUUUAUUGACAGCUUCGCGUAUUAAUAUAUCCUGAGUUUGUCGUUUCCGCCAUUAUCAGCGUGUAAGUCGAAGCGAUGCCACCAAGAGAACACCCUUGUGCUUUUUUAGGAUGUAAGGCUCAGCACAAGAGCCUUCACUGCAAAUGAGCAACAGAGGCUUAAGUGGCUGAGUUUUAUCUUUGAAGACAAGGUGCCUGAAAAUGUACCAAAACUGAUGUAUGUUUGUGCUAACCACUUUAGCGUAGACUGCCUCGAGAACGCGGGACAAUACAACUCCGGAUUCGCGAGUAAAUUGUUUCUGAAAACUGGAUCAGUUCCCACAAUACGUGAUCCUGCCUCACUUAAAAUAAGUAUUACAUUUUCUGUACUUCUAGCCUCAGCAUUCUAAUAAUGUUAAGCCGAAAUGAAUAGCAUCUGCGGCUAAAGUAGCUUCGGAUGUUUGUUUGCACGUGUUUACCUCUUAUUGUGCUUUUCUAAAACUUUUUGUGCUUUUCUAAGUCUAAAUACUCGAAGCUGUAAAUGGUAAUGUGUAAAUGAAGGGGGUUUAGCCAUUAGAAACAGAAACCGUAGAAAAAUAGCAACAUUGUAAUAAGCAGUACCACUGGCUACAGCUAAAGUUUGUUGUGUAUGUGGGAUGUUUGUUGUACUGUAAUGGUAAGCCGAAAUGAAUAGCAUCUGCGGCUAAAGUUGCUUCGGAUGUUUGUUUCCACGUGUUUACUGCUAUUAUGCUUUUUUUUUUAAAAACAGUCUAAAUAAUCGAAGCUGUAAGUGGUAAUGUGUGUACAAGAAGGGCUUUUAGCCAUUAGAAACAGAAAACGUAGAAAAAUAUAAACAUUGUAAUAAAGCAGUAACCAGUACUGGCUACAGCUAAAGUUUGUUGUGUAUGUGGGAUGUUUGUUGUAAUGUGGAUUCUGUAAUGUUAAGCAGAAAUGAAUAGCAUCUGCGGCUAAAGCUACUUCGGAUGUUUGCGCGUGUACUGCUAUUGUGCUUUUCUAAAACAGUCUAAAUACUCGAAGCUGUAAGUGGUAAUGUGUACAUGAAGGGGUUUUAGCCAUCAGAAACAGAAACCAUAGAAAAAAUUAAACAUUGUAAUAAAGCAGUACCACUGGCUAAGUUACAGCUAAAGUUUUUGUAUGUUUGAUGUUUGUUGUAAUUUUUUCACUGUACUUGCACGUGGUCUGCAGUUGUUUACAAUAAGAUCGGUAUGUUUUCAGCGAAUAAAGGUCAUUUUAAAAAAUGUAUGUUUUCUUACAAAGGCCACGACGUCGACACAGAGCAACAAGGUGGAUGUUGCUUGCCAGACGGAACCAUUUCACACAUCUUUACACAGUGUUGGUACCCAGUUGUCUUUUAGGACGCUUCAGGCCAAACGCAGGAGUACAAGUGUCCAGACAACAGUAUCCAGUUUUGAACUGACUGUACCAUCAGCGUCCUCUACUGCGUUUAUGACUUCGACACCCCUCAAACCUUCAUUAAAAAACCUCGUCUGGAGCUGGAAGAGGAGGAUGAGGAAGAAGAAGAAGCCGAAGAGACUUUAACAGAGUCAAAAAUUAUAGCCCAAGACUCUGAUGUGACAUUUGACCCUGCAGAGGAAUACACAUCUGCAGCUGAACCAACAGACUUGUCGUGAGUUUAUGCAUUAAGUAAAUUAUUUGCAAGAUUGUGUAUUGUCAAUAUAACAUUCAUCAUCUUUUUUUAAUUAUGUACAUGUGUAUAUUUUUUUUACAGAAUCCAAGAAUGCCCAGUUCAUAACAUUGCCAAGUUCAUUGUCUAUGAAACAUGCGUCAUGGAGCUCUUCAGUGACUGCCCAGUGUGUCACAGGAGAUGUGAUGUAAAGUCACAAAGGCUUGGGACAUUUCUGAGCGUACAGCAAGUCUGCCCACACUGCGAGUUUGUAAGAAAAUGGAACAGUCAGCCAAUUAUUGGUAGUACUCCAGCUGGCAACCUGCAUCUUUCUGCUGCAGUCUACUUGAGCGGUGCAUCAUUUUUUGUAGUUGAAAAGGUAUUUGCUGCAAUGAAACUACACAUUUUUUAAUAUGAUUCAUUUCGCCGACAUACAAGACUUUGCAUUGAACCUGCUAUUGUCCACAAGUGGAGAAAUUGACAGAGUGAAAUGCUAGAACAGCUCAGUCGAAGAGAGCAUGUGAUCGUUGGAGGAG